rnacentral:lncRNA from 1 species
AUAUCAGUUACAAUCAUAGAAUAGAGAGAGGUCUAAUUAAACUAUUCUUAAGUGUUAUCAGUAUCAGUUAUAAUCAUGGACGAUACAAAAUGAAGUGAAAACACACAACACUAUUGAUCUAAGUAAGUAGCAACAGAUAUAACUUUUAUAAGUUUAUGUAUGAUGUGACCACAGAAUCAAAGAUCCUUUAUAUACCUUGGUAUAGAAAAACUGCUAUAACUUUUGAUACUUAGCUUCUAGAGAGCUGCCUUCUCCUCAAGAACUUUGCUUCCAUUUCAUCAUGUUGGUUCUGCCAUGUAAAAAUGAAAAAAAAAAAUCAUAUUAUAUUUGGGAGCAUGCAAUCAUAACCAACAUUCAAACCAAGAUUAUAAAUCCCAGAUCUCAUUCUCAUUUACGAAGAUUCACUCACAUGAAUCUCUAUUUAGAACCUAUACAUGUUUCCUGACAGUGAGA